rnacentral:rRNA from 1 species
CUUGAUGGUAGUGUAUUGGACUACCGUGGUGAUGACGGGUAACGGGGGAUUAGGGUCUGAUUCCGGAGAUGGAGCAUUAGAAAUGGCUCCAACAUCUAAGGAUAGCUGCAGGCGCGCAAAUUAUCCACUCUUGACUAAGGGAGAUAGUGACGAAACAUAUCGGCGUGGGGCUUUGCUUCUACGACCGGAACGGAGGUGUUUUAAACAGACACCAGAAAGCUAUUGGUGGGCAACUCUGGUGCCAGCAGCCGCGGUAAUUCCUGGACCAAUAGUGUAUAUUGAAAUUGUUGCAGUUAAAAAGUUCGUAGUCGGAGGUGGACGUCUUUCGAGACGGCGUCAGAACGCUGCCUUGUGUGGCGACUGGCGGGCUACUUUGAGGAAAAUAGGGUGCUCAAAACAGGCGGUCGUCUGUAUAAAUCAGCAUAGAAUAGCACUGUGCCGUUGGCUAGCUGGUUGGAGCUACGGAAUGGUUAAUAGGAGCAAGCGUGGGUGAAGGAAUUCCAGGGCUAGAGGUGAAAUUCUGUGAUUCCUGGAGGACCAACAAAGGCGCAAGCAUUCGCCAAGUAUGCUUCCGUUGAUCAAGAACUAAAGUGUGAGUAUCAAAGACGAUUAGAUACCGU